GACGAACGCUGGCGGCGUGCUUAAUACAUGCAAGUCAACUGAACUUUAGGUAGCAAUAUUUAAAGGGAGGUGGCGCACGGGUGAGUAACACGUAGGUAAUCUGCCCUCAGGACUGACAUAAUUCCGCGAAAGCGGGACUAAAAUCAGAUGAUGCAGCGGCUCGGCAUCGAGACAGUUGUUAAACCUUCGGGGCCUGGAGAUGAGCCUGCGUCUGAUUAGGUAGUUGGUCGGGGUAAAAGGACCCACCCAAGCCUGCGAUCAGUAGCUGGUCUGAGAGGAGUGAUCAGCCACACUGG
rnacentral:rRNA from 1 species